GACGAACCGUGCAAACGUUGUUCGGAAUCACUGGGCUUAAAGGGCGCGUAGGCGGGUUCCCAAGUCGGUGGUGAAAUCUUUCAGCUCAACUGGAAAAGUGCCGCCGAUACUGGGAGUCUUGAGGGAGGUAGGGGUCGGGGGAACUGGUGGUGGAGCGGUGAAAUGCGUAGAUAUCACUAGGAACGCCGGUGGCGAAAGCGCCCGACUGGACCUCUUCUGACGCUGAGGCGCGAAAGCCAGGGGAGCAAACGGG
rnacentral:rRNA from 1 species